rnacentral:RNase_P_RNA from 1 species
GCAGAUGGCCGGAUGACCGCCGCCGCGCAAGCGGGGGAGGAAAGUCCGGGCUCCACGGAAACACGGUGCCGGCUAACGGCCGGCGAGGGCGACCUCAGGGAAAGUGCCACAGAGAGCAGACCGCCCGGCGGCGGGGCUUCGGCUCCAGCAGGGCAAGGGUGAAAGGGUGCGGUAAGAGCGCACCGCGCCCCUGGUGACAGGGGCGGCAUGGUAAACCCCACCGGGAGCAAGACCAAUAGGGAUGGUUGUCCCCUCGAGGGACAGGCGGGUUUCUGCGCCACCGUCCGGGUCGGUUGCUUGAGCGUGUCGGCAACGGCGCGCCUAGAGGAAUGGUCAUCGAAGCGCGCAAGCGCGGAACAGAACCCGGCUUACAGGCCAUCUGCCACU